GAGAUGGUUUUAAAGCACUGUGAAGUGGUAUAUAAGUCUAAAUGCUAUUGCUGUCAUUAGUCACCUAACACCAAGAUCAUAAAUUUGGUGUGCCACAGGAGAAUGGCAGGUAGCUGCUGGAAACAAUGUAAAGUCCCUGCUUAGCCUAGCCUCAGCUUGAUUGAUCCAUAAACUGUGUGUAGGCUUGUUCAUCUGUUCCUUACUCCAGUAUUGUUCUCUGCCCUCAGUAAUGUUUCCUGGUUGGGGUGAGGGAGCAAAGGAAGACAGAAUAAUGAAAGUAGCUUGUGGUAUUGUGAUGCAAAAUCUAUCCCUUUUUUGUACACUUCUAAUGAAAGCAGCAAGUUUCUGCAAAACCUCGUGCAGUCCACCUUCUCUGAUCCUUCAGUGGCAUACAGGUAGUCCUCAACUUAUGACCGGUCACUUAGCAGCCAUUCAAAAUUAUAUGGCGGAAUUUCCCUCCCCCUCAAAGCUAUUUAGGACCUGGUCUUGAAGUUAUAGCUGCUGCAGCAUCCCCCUGGCUGUUCACCCUUACACCUGACUGUAGGGUUGCUUCAGCACACCCAGCCGAUCUUCCCCGAUCCCUCCACACCAGGUCCAUGCAGACCUGCUUUCCACUCCACCAGGUCCCACACCUUCCUCAAUUACCUUUCAAAGAUCUCCAGAACUUGGAUUAGGGAUGGACUACUUUUUGCUGGUCCUGGAAGCAGCCACCAUUUUCCAAGCAGCUGCAUUGAAUUGUGGUCGCUCAGAAUAUGGCAGCCGCUUCUUGUAUUGUACCAAGUGGCUGAGCAAUAAAGCAGUCUAUUCUGCUUUUCCCAAAGUAUGGGUAGCAUUUAACCACCCCGUCAGGGGGAUCAGGAAGUUGGGGCCAUUAAGUGAGGCUGUGACAAUAAUGGCAGGCUCCAUUGCAGUCUUAAUCUGAGGAUUACCUAUAUGUACAGCACAUAUGAAGAAGGCAAGAUGGAGUAUGUGGGGGGAGGGAGUUUUCUGAGAAUUUGGAGAACAAUUGAGCGAUAUUGGUGAGCUUCAGGCAACCCCUGGGAUACAGAUUAUGUAACUAUGCUUAAAAAUGUAGCAGAAACCCUGGAAGAAAGUACAAAUCAAAUGUUAAUUUUUUUUGUGCAUUAUACAUUUAUACUAACUGGGUCAUUUAGGGUAUAGACCUAAUUAAACCUGUCUGCUUUUUCCACAUUGCUUAGCAACUGAGCAGAGAUGAGUAAAGGUCAAGCAUGUUUGGCUGGUAUAAUGGGCUGUAUAUACCAUGUGUUCUUCUCAAAGCUACCCUAGCAUGUCAUCUUUUGCUCUAGUGGGCUUGCUGAAGGUGUGUGUGUGUGUGUGUGUGUGUGUGUGUCUACAUACACACAAACAUAUACCCAUACAUACAUGCAGCUGCUAUUAAGCCUAUUUCAUUUUAGAAUCCAUCUGUUUCCUGAUUCUUAAUCCACUGAAUUCAAUUUGUUUUUGUUUUGGUUUUUUUUGUUUUUUUUCAGACACUCUUGUAUCACUCUUCUAAUACCUGGAACAUGUAUAUACAUAUUUCAUAGGAGGCAUUUAACUAUAGCCUAGCUAGCCAUUUGAAAGCAAUUUGUUUUCUGUCAGUGAGAAUCAGAAUAAUUGGAAACAAUGCAGAAGAAAUAUUCACUGCAGCACUCAUGGAAAUACAGACCGGGAAAAAAAAAAGCUACAUAAAUCUUUUUAUUUCCCAAUAUUUAUUAAAUGCAAAAUCUUUGCUGGGACCUUCAGAAAAAUGUACAGAAUGUAUAAAAGCACACAUAUUGGUUAUUCAUGCUGUAAAAUAUAUUUUGCAUAGCUGAUUGUAAUGUAAACUGACAAGUCAGAUUCGCCACCCACUGAAAAUGCUGAUGAAUGCUCACAUCCGGUUCUUAUAUCUGGCAGUAGUUUGCUUUGCUGUUUUAUAGAUGCCUUCACUACCCUCAGAUGGAUUUGCAGGUGCUAUUCUCCCAGUAUAGGGAUGAGUGGGAAAUCAGUAUAAGUCUAUAGACAGCAGAGGUUUAAAAUCAAAGAGGUGGCACUGAAUUAAUGGAUUCUCAGAUUUAGUCACAUAAUGUUCUUAUUUUUUUUUUUAAAGGGGAACAGCCAAAGCAAUAACUUGAAGAUAAAAUCUUUACUUGGUUACUUGUUUUCCCUACUUCUUCCAGAUCUAAGUUCCCCACUAUUUCCUGGAUUUAAAUAGCAAAAGCACUUAGACUGCUUCAUAGUUCUUUACAGCCCUCUCUAAGCAGAUUACCAAGUCAGCAUAUUGCCCCCAACAAUCAGGGUCCUCAUUUUACCGACCUCAGAAGGCUUGACGGGUGAGUCAACCCUGAGCCGGUCAGGAUUGAACUCCUGGCAGUGAGCAGAAUCAGCCUACAAUACUGCAUUUGAACCACUGUGCCACCAUGGCUCAAACUAAUAAUAAUGCUUUCCACUUCUAGAAGAUAACUUUUUGGUCAUGUAGGUGGAAGAUACAGUGUAAAAGAGAAAAAAAAGCAAGAUGCUAACAAGACCAAGCUUGGAAUUUUCUUAACUUUGCAGAAUGGAAGAAAUUCCAAAUUCUCCCUCCCUCCCUCCUUCCCUCCUGUCUAAAGAGUUGUUGACAGCAGUCCCUGUCAUCUUACAACCAGCGUGGUCAAUUUCUUUGGUGGUAUAAUAGGUUAGUAGAGAAUCCUAUGCUAAUCUGAUGUUUCAAGCUUAAUUUUUUCAUAGCCUCUUUGGGAUCCUAGGUACAGUUAAUAUCUGAUACAGUGUGUUUCAAUUAAUAUUUUCAGGCUUCAAGUGAAUAUGAAGGUCAAACAACUCAUAAUUCCUCCUGUUAAGUAGAUAUGCAUAUACAAUAUAAACAUAAUACUUAUUGAUAUGAAAUAACUUCCAGGCAUAAACAAUUGGCUAUGUCAUUAUUUCAUUCAGUCUCAGAAUUAUGCAGUGAUUCUUAAAGUAUUAAAGCAAACAAUAGCCUACCCAUGAAUUCUAGCUACUGGAAAUUCUGGCUACCUAGCAAUCUAAUUAGCACAUUGUGGAAUAAUCUUUUAUUGUAUAAAGCAUUAUCUGCAAAUCACUUGUUAGUCCUUGGCAGCUAUUUAGCCUAAACAUGGAGGUUAAAAGAUACAGUAUGGUACAUGAAAGGGCAUUUGCAAUCCUUCCCUCUAUCCCCCUGAAGUUUUCCACAACUGAAUCCUGCUCAGAUGGAUGGAUGGAUGGAUGGAUGGAUGGAUGGAUGGAUGGAUGGACGGAUGGACGGAAAGACAGAUGAUAGAUAGAUGGAUAAGAGAGAGUGAGAUAUGAUAGAUGAGAGGUAGAGAUAGAAGAGAGAUGAGACAGAGAGAGAGGGAGACAGAGGGAGGGAGGGAGGGAGGGAGGGAAGGAGAGAGAGGACAGGGUUUCAGCAGGAUUCAAAGCACAAGCCUGGAUUACAAUAUUUGUAAUUUGUGCAAACAUAAUGCAAGAUUCAUAUAUCAACCACUUAUAAGGCUAUUUUGUUGGUCAUGCUCAUUGCCUUUCUGACUUGCUGACACACACUUAACCUUACAUACUUCCUUUUCUCUUAAUAAAUGUAUUGCAGCAAAUCCUUAAAAGCAUAAUAGAAGAAAAUAGAUGCAAUAUGCUUUCAUUCAGGUUAGCAUUUUUUUACAAUAUAAAUAUUUAUGCGGGACUUGACAUAUCCUCUAUGUUUGGCUAGCCUUUAUGAGUGAUCCACAGUGUGCAUUUUGAAUUCCUUGUCAACCAGCCUUGAAGAGAGGAGUGUCCCCCACCCCCAUCCAAGAUCAAAGAUGGAAUAUCCACAGAUUUGGGUGAUCCAAACACCCACAGUUACUUGGUCUUGUAGAAUUGACUCAGAGUUGGUUACUCCUCAUCCAAAUCCACUCAGCUUCCUGCUAUUGGAGCAGACUCUUGGUGUUCUCACUUGACUAGUUAGGGGUCUAAAGGUAUCAUCAGCAUACCGAGAUUACUGAAUCUCAAACCAGCAGAUGACCUCGCCAAAAGUUUCAUGUAGACAUUGAAAAGGAGUUUGGGAGGGAAUAAAAUUUGAUGCACCCCACAUUGGAAGGGCCUAAGGAGUGAUGUUCCUACCCAACACCAACUGCAAUCAGUUUCAGAGAAAGGAAGAGAACCACCACAAAAUUCUAUCAUGUGUAAAUCUGUCUGUCUGUCCAUCCAUCCAUCCUGUUGAUGUAUGUUAACUGGUAGUAAUGCCUUGAUCCUGAGUUUCUUAAUGCCUAAAUGGGGUUCAAUUAAUCUAUAUGAAGAGUGUGCCUCUAUCUUUGAAAAUGCAUAGUUUUUUUUCAUAAUUGUGUUUGUCUAGUCCAUUCCAUUUCUUUAUAUAAUGUUUGUUGUAUCCGGUUGAAUAGCUUAUACAUUUGAUAAGAUCUCAAAUAUCUUGUGAUCUGGACUCCAGUUUGAGGGGAAAACAUGAGUUUUGGAAAUACAGAAAUGUUGUCAUGAGUGAUACAUGACUGAAUCUAAAUUCAGUAGUCAAUAUCACAUUGUAUCAGAAAUCAAGUGUUAAUGAAAACUAAGUUUUAAGUGAUAAUUACUAUGUUCAAGUUGGAGGUUAAACUGCAUAAAGCCAUGUACAGAAAAGCAAUAACAUGAAACCUGGAAAUAAUCAAUUUCAGAGUUUGGUGUCUGCAGAAAUCUUUGCCAUUCAGAAAGUUUCUGUCAUUUCUUCCAUUAUUUACAACCUCCAUUUUAUCUUCAAUUUGCUUUUCAUUACUAGAAGUAUCUAUUACUUCAAAGUGAUCUCAGACCAGAUGCAUAUUAAAUACUGUAACUAUUGAAAUUAGCAAUUACAUUAAUGACCAAAAUAUGAAAUUGAAAUCUUCAUUUUCUUUUCCAAGGCGUAUAAUAAUAUACAACUAAUUAUGGUUGCUUCUGAGAAAUGUGUACAGUGUUUUUUCUUCAUAGGAAAGAAAGCCUUGUAGAAAAUAUAGCCAUCUGCAGCCAAUCAAGUGAGUUUCAAAAUGACAACAUCCAGAUGAUGAUGUCAUAAUGCAGACUCUUUUCUUAAUGUAUUCGCAGCUUGAUGCAAGCACAGAAGUAUUGUGAAAUUAUGUUGCAUAUUUCUUCACUUCCAUAUUUGGCCUCUAUCUAAGAUAGCACACUCAGAUAAAUAUUCAAACCCAGUCCUCAUUGUGCUGUUACAGAUAAACUACAAAACAGAAUAAGUUUAUUCCUUCUAUGGAUAUCUGUCAAUCUGCUUAGAUGUGUAGCUCCUUUAUUCUUUAAACCACUAAUCUCUCUAUAUGUAUAAACUCUGUUAAUCUCUUUCAUAGUGUCAAUGUCAACAUCCAAGUAUACUUGCCCUCUCCAUAGUGAACAAUAGGGGGAGGGAAAUUUAGCAGGUAAAUGCUGAAAAAGAAAGGAAAGAAAAAGUUUUCUGAACAAAAUAUUACAGUAUUCUUGUUAUGUAUUGUAUAUAGUUGUCAGUUGAAGUUCUCAGUCUUGUCCUCUGUUGGAGCUGGAAAAUACUCUCUCCUGAUUGGUUGUGGGCUGAUCAGCUUCCCUAUAUAAGGAGCUGUAACAGCCAGGGAGCAACAGUUGCCUCACAGGCAGUAUCGAAUAAAGAGCUGUUAGACAUCAUUCUGGUCUCACCUCCAUUCUUCAUCCAGAACAUAACAAUUCUCUUCCCAUAACUUAUUCCUUUUAGAGUUACAGAUUUUUACAGAUUUUUCUAGAUACAAGACUCCAUAUGGUUGAUACCUAGCUGGGGAAAUUUUGGAGACAUCCCAGGGAAUAAAGAACUAACCUUGUAUAUGCAAAGACCAUAAAUUAAAUGAAUAAUCUGCUGUCUGUUUUACGAUAUGCAAAAUUGGCUGCUCAAGAUGCCCAUUCCUUCCUACCCAAUAAUACGGCCUAUCUUGUUGAAAAAGGAGAAGGAAAAAGGAGAAAAGAAAAACAAGAAAAUUAGCUAAUUUCUGCACUAGAACUUACUUUAUGUAACAAAUAUAGUUUGCCAGCAUUUUAUAUGGUGAUUCUUCCAUUAAAAAAUUGCAAAAUUAAAGGGGACAAAUUCAGUUUCUGGAAUAGUGUAUAGCUAAAUACGGAAUUGGCUUGACUUUUAGCCAUUUGGCUUUGUUCAGAGUUCUUUUGUGGUGAAGAGAUUUGAAGGGAUCACAUACUAGCUAUCAUAAAUUGGCUCAAUGAAAAUAAUGUUUUAGUAUGGAUUUUGUUUUUUAUUGUUUCAUUUUUCCCCCUUUUAGCCAAGCUGUUUUUCAGUAGAACAAGCAAACUUUCCAAUAAAUAUAAUUACUGUGGAACUUGAUAGUUAAACUCAUUCUUUUAAAGAUUUUCUACCUAUCCUCCAGCAUUUAUCUAUCUUUCUAUUUUGCCUCUGUUUAAUUUUGUUUUUAUGAUCAGCAUGACCGCAAUAGUAUUGAGAAGACAAUGUUUAAAAAUCUGUCAAAACUGGAAAGGUAUUCUCCACAAGAAAACAUUUCAGAAAAGCUUCCAAAGUUGCUAGGAGCAUGCCGUUAAGGUCAUCUGGAAGUUUAUCUGUGUCAUUGGGGUCACCUGAGUGGUGCAAAUUGGUGUGGAGCCUUCUUGGAACUGUGGAAAGGAAUCUCCAAUCUACAACAAGUCAUUGACCUAGAUAUGGAACCAACUAAAGUUGACUCAGCCUUCCAUCCUUUCUAAGAUGUAUCUAUGCCAGCCUUGCUUCCCAAGACAGCAUGUGCACUUGGUGUAAAGCAGAACCUGUUUCCAGAAUCUGACAUCAUUGAGAGGUUGCAUUGGCAUUUAUGAGAAACAACUGCGAAACAAUCCUUAUGAGUGAUUUAAUUGUGUCUCCAAUAUCACUAGGGAAAUCCUCCUUCCUGUUUAAUUCAUGAAAGGUUCAGCUGCAUAUAAUGCAUAGGAAUCAGCAUAGAUCAUCAAAAUGCUAAGUAUCUUUAUGCACAUGAAUAUGCUUUUAUUCCAAAAGAUCUUCUCACAGAGAAAUGAAGCACACAGAAAAUUUAUGCAUUGUUAUUUCUCUAUUAUGAGUUGUAAUCAUCAUUCAAAAUAGCCAGAGAUGGAGAAUUAUAAACUCGAAAAUACCCUUGUACUUCCAGUCAAUGGAGAAAAAUUAGCUUGGAAAAGCAUUAGUGCUUGAACGAUUGAAGCAAUUAUGCUUUGCACAUAAGCAGGAAAAAUGCAAGGAGGACCAAGCAUUCACAUUACAGAAGUGAUAAGCUGAUACUGAAUUGACGGAUUGAUUGAUUAUGUGCCAUCAAGUUGGUGCCAAGUCUUUGUAACCAUGUAGAGUCUUUUCUCCAAGAUGAUCUAGCACAUAAGCUGGCACAUUACUCUGAAAUGCUAUUACCUAAAGAUAGAAGAGACUUGGGGAGGAAAUCAUUCAAUAAACAUAUUGUAAAGGAGUCUAAGAAAACAAUGAGUUUGUCAGUCAAUCAAAUCAGAAAAAGUAGUAGUACUUUAUUAUAGUCAUUGACCAGCUCAAGAAACAGAAGGGAAAAAAAUUGUGAGAGCAAAUAAAAACCACAGAAAAAUCAAAUAAUUAUAAUUGGAGUGGUCAAAGUAGAGAGUGUUUUGCAAAUAGUAAAAGAAAGUGAGCCAUGUUAAGAGAAAUAAAAUCAUAGUGGUUGGAUAACAACUACAAAUAAAAUGGAUGUAAAGGUAAAAGUUUCCCUCGCACAUAUGUGCUAGUUGCUCCUGACUCUAGGAGGCAGUGCUCAUCUCCAUUUCAAAGCCAAAGAGCCAGCACUGUCUGAAGACGUCUCUGUGGUUAUGUGGCCAGCAUGAUUAAAUGCCAAAGGCGCACAGAACACUGUUACCUUCCCACCAAAGGUGGUCCCUAUUUUUCUACUUGCAUUUUUACAUGCUUUCAAACUGCAGAAGUUGGGACAAGUAACGGGAGCUUACCCCGUUAUGCGGCACUAUAGAUUUGAACCACUGAACUGCCGACCUUUCAAUCAACAAGCUCAGCAUCUUAGCCACUGAGCCACCAUGUCUGACUCAAAAUGGAUGUAGGUGACCUGAAAUAUGACAACAUGGGAUAUGAUUAGCUGCUGCUGGACAUCUUAAUGGAAGAAACAUAACAAAACAUUGGUUAAUCUUUCAAAAACUCUUUUACUACAGAGACAGUGUCUUUGUUCAAUGAUAUUUUGCUCUCUCAACCGUUCUGGAGGCAUUAAAUAUUGCCAGGAUUAGGGUUCUUCUGAAUUUGGGAACUGCUACUUGGCUUAGAUAUCUAGCUGGUUUGAAAAAAGAAAGAUCAGUUGUCUGUGUCAAACCUAUGGCAGAAAAUGUAAAUUCAACCAAUAAGGGAAGAUGCAUAUCCAAAUAUGUGUUUCAAUUUUGAUCACAGUGUAAGUCCAUGUUUAAAAAAAAAUGGGAAGAAAGUAUGUGCUUUAAGUUUUUAUACUACACCAUCUUUAAAGGUUUCAUUUGAGUUCCAAACAAAAAUUGUAUCUGCACAGCAGCUGAAAUACAUCUCAUUCAUCCAUACAACAAAAUGGUCAGAAGCACAUCUUAUAUGUUUUAUAUAUAUUUUUUCAGGAAAAGAUUCAUUACUCACUAAAGACCAUUCCAUUUUCCUAUGAAGCAUAACUAUCUUCUUUGAUAUUAUUUUUCAGAUAUGUAGCCUCAUUAUAUCAUUUAAUCAUUUGCUGCAAAUGAUUUACACCUUCAUGAUUUUAAUGACAUCAUCCUACAGAAUACACAUGCAUUCACAUUCCUAAACAACAUCCUGCUGUCAUAAAUGUUCCUCAUAUAUUUAUUCAUAAAUACAUUCAACAUCUGAGGUGACAUCAGACAAAUUUGUCUUAAUCCCUGCCCAGUGCAUUCCUUUACUUCAAUUUCAUCAAAAUUAUUUCAUCAUUUAUUUAUUUUUACUUUUAAUUCCAAACAUUCUGUAGGAGGUUCUUUUUUUAACCUUGCUCAUCCAUAUCCAAAACAUUAAAACAAAAUUCUUUCAAAAUCACUCAACAUUUCCUGUCAUUUUUUAAUCUUAACUGUUCUUUGUUCUGAUUGCACUUUUGAAAUUAUUCUUGUCUAUAUAUGCAUAAGUAUUUCUCGCUCAUUCUUUUUACAGCAAUCUCAUUUUUUCCUCAUUCAGUGUUAUGAUUUGAUUGUUCCCUCUUUUUUGUGCUUUCUACUAGCAUAACUCCUCACACAUCUGUAACAUAAUUCUUUUCUUGUGUUCCAAGAGACUUCAAUAUCUUUUUCCCUUACAUCAGCUGUAAAUUUCUAGCAGCACUAGAUAGUAGAAAAGAAAUUCACAAGCCUCUAACUCUUUGUUGACACUUACCGUGUUUCCUCAAAAAUAAGACCCUGUGUUAUAUUUUUUUGAAACCUGAAAUAAGCGCUUUGCCUUAUUGCCAUGCGCUCAAAAGCCCGAUUGGGCUUAUUAUCAGGGGAUAUCUUACUUUGGGGGAAACCGGGUAGUAAUAAUCCAGACUUUUGCAUUCCAAAUGUAGUAGCCCUAAAGUAAUGUCUCAAUAAAAUCUGUGCAACAGUCA